rnacentral:rRNA from 1 species
CCCCUAGAUGUUCUGGGCCGCACGCGCGCUACACUGAACAGUUCAACAAGUCUUAACCGUGGCCGAUAGGUCUGGGUAAUCUUUGAACGCUGUUCGUGAUUGGGAUAGACCUUUGCAAUUAUGGGUCUUCAACGAGGAAUUCCUAGUAAACGCAAGUCAUCAGCUUGCAUUGAUUACGUCCCUGCCCUUUGUACACACCGCCCGUCGCACCUACCGAUUGAAUGGUCCGGUGAAAUCUCGGGACGGCGGCUUGGUCGCUUGCGUCCGACUGCUGAAACUUGAUUAAACCAUAUCAUUUAGAGGAAGGUGAAGUCGUAACA